UGGGUUGUGACUCAGAGGUAGAGUGCUUGUCUAGCAUGCAUGAGGCACUGGGUUUGAUCCUCAGCACCACAU
rnacentral:tRNA from 1 species